rnacentral:rRNA from 1 species
CCUCAGAUCAGGUAGGAGUACCCGCUGAACUUAAGCAUAUCAAUAAGCGGAAAAGAAACCAACAGGGAUUGCCCCAGUAGCGGCGAGUGAAGCGGCAAGAGCUCAGAUUUGAAAUCGUGUUUCGGCACGAGUUGUAGAGUGUAGGCGGGAGUCUCUGUGGAGCGCGGUGUCCAAGUCCCUUGGAACAGGGUGCCUGAGAGGGUGAGAGCCCCGUAGGGUGCUGCGCGAAGCUUUUGAGGCCCUGCUGACGAGUCGAGUUGUUUGGGAAUGCAGCUCCAAGCGGGUGGUAAAUUCCAUCUAAGGCUAAAUAUUGGCGAGAGACCGAUAGCGAACAAGUACUGUGAAGGAAAGAUGAAAAGCACUUUGAAAAGAGAGUGAAACAGCACGUGAAAUUGUUGAAAGGGAAGGGUAUUGGGCUCGACAUGGGGGGUGCGCACCGCUGUCUCUUGUAGGCGGCGCUCUGGGCGCCCUCUGGGCCAGCAUCGGUUCCUGCUGCGGGAGAAGGGGCUCCGGAAAGUGGCUCUUCGGAGUGUUAUAGCCGGGGCCAGAUGCCGCGUGUGGGGACCGAGGACUGCGGCUUCUGUCUCGGAUGCUGGCAUAACGGCGCAAUACCGC